rnacentral:rRNA from 1 species
UUGAAAGGGAAACGAUUGAAGUCAGUCGUACCGACGAGAAAUCAGCUUUUCGAAUGUGCAUUUGUGGGCGUAUGAGAUCUUCAUUGUUUGCAAUAUGUAUAUUUCUUUGGUGUACUUUUUCGUAUGGUAGGUCAACGUCGGUUUUGAUCGCCAUAAAAUGAUCGGAGGAAUGUACCUUCGGGGGGCGGUUGAAGUGUUAUAGCCUUUGGUAAAUGUGGUGAUUAGGACCGAGGAUUGCAACGAAUACCUUUUAGGCUAUCCGUCUGACCUCUGAAAGUUACUUAGGUGCCGAAAGCUUGCUUACGGUCAUUUAAGUUGACGGUCAAUAGGUUAGAACGUGAUUACAUUCGUUAAGGAUGUUGACGUA